rnacentral:rRNA from 1 species
AGAGAGAGACAUGCGCGCAUAUCAAUAAGCGGAGGAAAAGAAACUAACUAGGAUUCCCUUAGUAACGGCGAGUGAAGCGGGAAGAGCUCAAAUUUGAAAUCUUCAAGGUUCUACCUUGACGAAUUGUAGUUUAAAGAAGUGUUUUCUGUUGGAGUUUUCGGUAAAAGUUCUUUGGAAUAGGACAUCAUAGAGGGUGAGAAUCCCGUAUUUGACCAUUACUUUCCAACUUUGUGAUACACUUUCAAAGAGUCGGAUUGUUUGGGAAUGCAGUCCAAAAUGGGUGGUAAAUUUCAUCUAAAGCUAAAUAUUGGCGAGAGACCGAUAGCGAACAAGUACCGUGAGGGAAAGAUGAAAGGAACUUUGAAAAGAGAGUUAAACAGUACGUGAAAUUGUCAAAAGGGAAGCGUUUGACACCAGUGUUGUUUUUCCGAAAAUCAAUUACGAAUGUUUUGUUUUUGAGGAGUUAUGACUUCAUCGGCUUGCUCCUUUCUUUACGAAACUUUCUUAAUGCACUUUUCGGUUAACAAGUCAACAUCAAUUUCUUUUGUUGUAAAAGGGUAUGAGGAAGGUGGCUUUCUUUUCGGAGAAAGUGUUUAUAGCCUUGUACCUCUGCAAUCGGAGAGAUUGAGGUCUGCAGCGUAGAUCCCUUCGGGGUUAGAUACAUUUGUGCUAAGUUAUAGCUUUUCAUAGACAACUUGUUGACUAUGUUUAGUCUUGUAGCUUACUCGCUUUAUGUAUUUUACCUACGCUUAGGAUGUUGAUCUGUAGUGCGUGCGC